rnacentral:rRNA from 1 species
CGAGUUUGAUCCUGGCUCAGAACGAACGCUGGCGGCAUGCCUAACACAUGCAAGUCGAACGAAGCCUUCGGGCUUAGUGGCGCACGGGUGCGUAACGCGUGGGAACCUACCAUCAGGUUCGGAAUAACAGUUAGAAAUGACUGCUAAUACCGGAUAAUGUCUUCGGACCAAAGAUUUAUCGCCUUUUGAUGGGCCCGCGUAAGAUUAGGUAGUUGGUGGGGUAAAGGCCUACCAAGCCGACGAUCUUUAGCUGGUCUGAGAGGAUGAUCAGCCACACUGGGACUGAGACACGGCCCAGACUCCUACGGGAGGCAGCAGUGGGGAAUAUUGGACAAUGGGCGAAAGCCUGAUCCAGCAAUGCCGCGUGAGUGAUGAAGGCCUUAGGGUUGUAAAGCUCUUUUAGCUGGGAAGAUAAUGACGGUACCAGCAGAAGAAGCACCGGCUAACUCCGUG